rnacentral:rRNA from 1 species
UACGUAGGGUGCAAGCGUUUGUCCGGGAAUUAUUGGGCGUAAAGAGCUCGUAGGCGGUGUGUCACGUCGGCCGUGAAAACCUGCAGCUUAACUGUGGGCGUGCGGUCGAUACGGGCAUCACUGGAGUUCGGCAGGGGAGACUGGAAUUCCUGGUGUAGCGGUGAAAUGCGCAGAUAUCAGGAGGAACACCGGUGGCGAAGGCGGUUCUCUGGGCAUUACCUGACGCUGAGGAGCGAAAAGUGUGGGGAGCGAACAGG